GCUUACGGCCAUACCACCCUGAGCAUGCCCGAUCUCGUCUGAACUCGGAAGCUAAGCAUGGUCGGGCUAGGUUAGUACUUGGAUGGGACACCGCCUGGGAAUACCAGGUGCUGUAAGCU